rnacentral:rRNA from 1 species
GCGACUUUUGGUCUGUAAUGACAUUGAGGCGCGAAAGCGUGGGAGCGAACAGGAUUAGAUACCUGGUAGUCCACGCCGUAAACGAUGAGUGCUAAGUGUUAGGGGGUUUCCGCCCCUUAGUGCUGCAGCUAACGCAUUAAGCACUCCGCCUGGGGAGUACGGCCGCAAGGCUGAAACUCAAAGGAAUUGACGGGGGCCCGCACAAGCGGUGGAGCAUGUGGUUUAAUUCGAAGCAACGCGAAGAACCUUACCAGGUCUUGACAUCUUCUGACAAUCCUAGAGAUAGGACGUUCCCCUUCGGGGAACAGAGUGACAGGUGGUGCAUGGUGGUCGUCAGCUCGUGUCGUGAGAUGUUGGGUUAAGUCCCGCAACGAGCGCAACCCUUGAUCUUAGUUGCCAGCAUUCAGUUGGGCACUUUAAGGUGACUGCCGGUGACAAACCGGAGGAAGGUGGGGAUGACGUCAAAUCAUCAUGCCCCUUAUGACCUGGGCUACACACGUGCUACAAUGGAUGGUACAAAGGGCUGCAAGACCGCGAGGUUUAGCCAAUCCCAUAAAACCAUUCUCAGUUCGGAUUGCAGGCUGCAACUCGCCUGCAUGAAGCCGGAAUCGCUAGUAAUCGCGGAUCAGCAUGCCGCGGUGAAUACGUUC